UGGGAAUGCUUCUGUGCCCCCGUUUCCCUAUUGAGUUUCUAUUUGUGCUCUGCUUUCUCCAAUCCCCACCCCCUUUAUGAAUUGAGGGGGAGAAAUCCAGACCAUGCAGUCUAGUAAAAAGCCUUUAGAAGGAAAAAUGGCUGCCUGGUAUCUUGAAGAUUUCAAAGUGGUUUCCUUGGAUUAACAGAAAUAUUCUGAACUCUACAAAGAAAACCAAAUCCUUUUCUGGGAACAGAAUUCUUCGACAUCCCAUCUCUGCUCAUCAGGGCACUUCCAUUCCUUCUGAUGAUGAACAAUAUAUGCCACCCAACAGUACAGGGCUCAGGAUGAUAAUGAUUCAGAGGCUGAUGAGCCCCACCCCUUCCCAAUAGAAACAAGAUACAUCCACAGGUCUGGGGGUCAAGAUGCCUCUGAGGCUGUAGGGGAUUUAGUUACAUUGAGUAAUUUCUGCCACAGGAAUGCAACUGCUAGACUAUCCUUGGUUCAGACAACUGUUGUGGCCCGUGAGGAAGGAGCAGAAGCUAAUAAUGAAAGGCAGCCCGCCUUGAUCUGAUGACAUCGAGAGAUGGUGAAUCCUCCACUUGUUCUUGUGAGUGGAAGAGCACAUGCAUGUGGAUCAAGUGGAAUGAAAGAAAAAGACUGUCUUACGUGUUCUCAGAGCUUGUUCAUUCAUCCAGACACCCACCCAAACUGCCUUCAAAAAACAGAAAAAUGACUCCGCUUGACCCCCUUUUAUAUUCUCCCAUAGAUUUUUCUCAUGAAUUAAGCUGCGUGGGAUAUCUCCAAGUUCCCAUCUGUUUGCACGGGGAUCACAGAGCUCUCACUUGUGAUUUUAAAAAUAUUAUGUUUUGUGCUGAACAUUUCUGAAAUUGAAAAUACACUUCCCCCCCCCAACUUUCAUUGAUACUGAUCCUAAUACCAAUCUAGCUAGUGAUCUCUCUACAACAUAGAUAAGUUGAAGAAUUUUGUGUUGAAGAAUUUUUGUUUCUGAUCUGCACUGCAGAUUUCAGGCCUAAGCCACCUGUCAUUUGCCAUUGUCAGAAGACAGGACACUGGGCUAGAUGGGCCUUUGUUCUGACCCAAUAUGACUGUUUUUAUGUUCUUAUGUAAUCCUGUUCCUUUGAAAAUCAAUGAGAGGAAGAUUGGGCUCCUCAAUUGCAUAUUUUAUACUUAUUCCAUAGGUUGAACUCCCAUGGCUAUCAGUGGAAGUGCUGGACAGAGAACAAAUGAAGAAUAUGCUAUGGAUAUCUCAGAUAAGAUGCUUUUAAAAGCCCAUGAUGCUUAUAUGUCUGCAUGUAUACAUAUUCAAGCCUACCUGGAACCCUAGAUAUGUACUUGAGCUGCUAGCUUCUGGUCCUGCUUGAGCUGCCAUAGCUUCAGUGUU